rnacentral:misc_RNA from 1 species
UUUCUUAGGGGUCCCACUCUUCUUGGGCACGAACUUCUUUUUCCAGCCAGGAGGAGCAGGAAGUUCUACAGAGAAAUCCUCCUCUGUUAUCGAAGUAUCCUUCCCCUUCUCCACUGAACUUGCCAUUUCACCAGUAGCACAUGCGAGCAGGAACUUUAUCCGCCGCUGUAUUAUCUCUUUCUCGGCAGGAGUGACCAAACAAGAUGACAAAACUACCUG